AAUGGAAGUGGCUGAGCAAGCGAAGGUUUUUUUUGUUUGUUUGCCUUUUUUUUUUUUUACUUGAAACAAAGUCCCAGCACAGCAGCCCGAUGCUCGGCGAUGCCAGGCAGUCGACGGUCUGAGAGAAGGACUAAGGCGCUAGUGCGGAUUUGUUGUAUUGUUUCAGCUUUGUGGAAAUACAGAUAGAAGAUGAAGGAUUUUGUUUGUUUAAACGGUAACUUUCUUAAGUUACCUGAAGAUAUCUGACAGUGAAGAACAAGAUUCCUUCCUUGACUGUUUCUACAAGAUUUGCAUGAGAUAUCGACAGACUAUUACAAUUGGUGAAGAUAUGGAAAGAAGCAUGACUUUGCUUUAAAGAAGACUUUUUUUCCUGUCCAACUUGUAGUGAAAAUGAAACCAUCAUUUGGAUUGCCGAGAUGAGCCAAGCAACUAUUAGAUGUUGCCUUGCCACACAGAAGAGGAUUUUAUUUACCUUUGCAUGUUCUUAAGACAGCACGGAUUAGGCAGAAGCAUUUGAAAUCUUCAGGCAUUAAAAUAUCUUGAGGAUAUUGGUAGAGUCAACAGUAUCUCCAGUGGUGUUUCUGGACAGUCCUGACCCUGUGUAGCUCACAGACUACAUGCUGGAUGAAUCUACUGUAAUACUGUGUAGCCCUCUUACACUCCUUAUUACUUAAGGAGAAACAAAUUGAAGAAACAAACUGGGCUUACGUGGCAAAGUUUUGGUAGCUGGGGGCUGCACAAGUGGUCUUUGUGAGAAGACAUCAGGAGCUGCCCCCAUGUCAAACAGAGCCAGAUCCAGCUGGCUCCAAGAUAAACUCACCACUGGGCAAACCUGAACCCAUCAGAAACAUCGGGAGCACCACUCUGACAGUAUGUUUAAGAAAGGGAAAAAAAUGCUGCACAACAGAAGCUGGGAUAGAGGAGUGAGAAUAUGUAAGAGAAACAGCUUUGCAGGCAUCAAGGUCAGUGCAGAAGGAGGGGGAGGAGGUGCUCCGGGCACCGAAGCAGAGAUUCUCCUACAGCCUGCAGAGAGGGCUGCAGUGGUACACAUUGUUCCUUGCAUCCUAUGGAGAUCCACCACGGUGCAGAUAUCUAGCUGCAGCCCAUGGAUAACCCCACAUCAGAGCAGGUGAAUGUCCCUUAAACGAAACGGUGACUCAGAAAGGGCCCAUGCUGGAACUCCUGGCAGAAACUGCAGACCAUGCAGAGAACACAACACAGGAGCAGGUUUGUUGACAGACCUGUGACCCCAUGAGGAACCCAUGAAUGAGCAGUCUGUUCCUGAAGGAUAACACCAUGUCGAAAGGACCCACAGUGGAACAGUCAGCCCAUGGGAAGGAUUUAUAUUGGAGAAGUUCAUGAAGGGCUGUCUCUAGUGGGUAACCCCUAAUGAUGGAGCAAGUGAAGAGUGGGAGGAGGAGCAGCAGAGAUGAAGCAUUAUGAACUGACUAUAACUGAUCCCAUUCCCCAUUCCACUGCACUGCUUAAGGCUGAGGAGGUUGAAGAUUUAGGAGUGAAAUUGACCCUGGGAAGAAAGAAGGGUAAAGUAUCACCUGCAUUUUUUUGCCUGUUCCAGGGAUGAUUCACUUGCAGACCACACCAAUCUACAUCACUCACAAACAGGAAGUGUAUUAUUUCCUUUGGAGACAGACAGGGGAGCUCUUCACACUGACAUCAUGGAUGUAGAUGCUUUAGGAAUACUUCAGAAAGGCUGAUGAGUUGGAUUUUAUCCUUUUUCAGAAAAAUUUUCUGAUCUUUUUCAAGUAGCCUUUCUAAUAUGCAUGUCAGAAAAGAGACUGCUAUUUCUGAUCUCCAUAAAAGAAAUGUAUGAGUAAAAUAUGGCAGCUAUUACUAUUUCUAGACCGGGUUUUUAUCUCAGUAGCAUAUUGCACUGGCUGUUUUGUAAUUAGGUGCCAUUAAAAGAGGAUGUCUAUCAAAAUGUUAACAAGGAUGGUGGUCAAUCUCUGUCAGAUUUAUUGAAAGCAAAUACAUUUACAAGUUCCAUCAUAAAUCUUGGUCAAGUAAUGAGAUUCUCAACUUAUUUUCCACAAAGUGGUUAUUACAUUAUGCAGGCAAAAUGGCAUGGUACACAACAGUUCAAUUUCAUCAGCUCUUCACACAGCAAUGAAAUCACAAACCAGUACUGUUCAAAUUUUGAUUUAUUUCAUUGUUGUAUAUUAGCCUAGAAUAUAAGCAUGCAUGGAAUAUUUUGGCUGAAUACAUGUUUAAAACUCUCAAGAAUUCUCUCAUUUCUAAUGGAAUUCUAACAAUAAAAUGUCAAACUCUUGCUUAGUAACAAAAUCAAGUAUGCACAUUUUUAAUACUUCACUUUGAAAUGUUUAAAUUAGUAUUUUGAAAUUAUUACUCCAGUCAGCCCUCACUUACACUGAUACACACAAAUAAUGUGUAGAGCCAAAUUCUACAGAACUGCUUCUUGAAUCUCCUAACUUUCAGUGAGAAGUUCUAAACAAGAACUUGUCUCCCCUGUAUAAUUGAAAUAAUAAACUAUAUAAUGGUACUUUGAGUUCAAGGUGAACUUUCAAAAUUCUGGGUUAUAGGUUAUUAUUUGUCACCUAUCUCAAAAAUGUUUAGGCAUUUUUUAAAAACCAGCUUUCACUUUGAUGCUGGAGGAAGCCAGGAAACGGUAAAUAGUUUUCUUGUGAGCACAUUCAGCAUGGAGGUAGGAACUUGUGGUUCAUCUUCCUGCACAGAUCAAUGACUGAGCAAUCAGUUGGUGUUUAGGGAAUUCAUCUAACUAGUAUGAAAUGUGGUUUCAGACUCCCUCAUUUGGAAAAGGGAACUGAAAUUGUUUGAUACUCUUCAAGGUGUGCUCUGCACACAGAAUAAACAAAGAGCAUAAUAUCCUCCAGAAUUUUAUAGCUUCUCAUUUCCUCCACCCAAAAUUAUGUGGGAAAUUUGGAUUAAACUGAGAAGUAGUCUGGGGAGAAAAGAGCAGGCUGUUUAAAUGAUUGUGCUGCUGAAGAAGAAAUUCUUCACCAAUAUAAGGCAAUAUUUAUGUAGGCCUAUUUACAACUAUAUUGAAUGUUAGGUUUAAUUGUAAAUUUAUUUUUAAGCCUGUAACUGCUGAUCUUGUGUAAAAAAUACCCUAGAUCAAUCCCCAGCAGCUGACCAUACCUCAAAUUCAGCAGUAUGUGGAAUGUCCAAAUGCAACAGAGUGAUGUCUAUGGGCUCUUCCUGCUGUGUAUGGAAUUUAUCCAUAUACUGAAAAUUGUAACUGCAGUAAAUCCAGCAAUGAUGAUUCGGAAAUUUCUUGGUCUGUCAUUUCUAGCCUUCUACAAACUUCUAUUUCCUUUUCCUUUGCUUGUGUUUAGAUCAAACAGGGAAAGAAAGAAGGUCUGAUCGUAAAAUGACUGUGAAGUGCAUGUUGUGGACCACUGUAGGGUGGGUCCAAAGUAAUGGUUGUGAAAAUGGGGAUUUUGUGUCUUAAAUCAUGUGAAGAUGACCUUCAGAUUAGACCCUGGGGAUAACUAUGUGCUAUAUUACUCGAUGGAUGUUGUUCCUGAAAGGUGUUACUGACUGCUUUGUUCUGCUUAGGUGAGCAAAACAGUCAGAUUGGAAUUGAUGUUUAUGCACUAUGCAUUCAUUUUUGGCAUAAAUUCAGUUUAAUGUUUCCAUUGUAUAUAUCUUUUCUGCUCUUUUUGCAUUCUGUAUAAAGACUGCACAGAGACAAUACUGAGAAAUUGAGGAAGAGUAGUACAUCAGUUUGUUGAUUUUGUUAUAGUUUCUAUCCAGAAAAUUUCUAGACCCUUGAAUUAAGCAUCUAAAUAUAAGUUGCAUUUGUCCUGUGUUUGAAGUGCUGGAAGCAAGCCACAAUUUUCUGGAUUCACAGUGUAGCACUGAAGAUCAAUAUUACCCUCUCUGAAUAUAUGUUGUAUCUUGGCUGACUAUACAACACUGUUUGGAAGCUCUCCCAUAACUAAAUUCAAGCACAGAUCCCCAUUUAUCACAUAAGUAAAUAUAUCAUUUGGUUUUAAAUGAUCAUGCCUUUUUUUUGCCUUUUCUUUUUUUUCCUGCCCAAGGAAAGAGGAAUUUGAUGACUUUCUGAAGCCCCAGAGAAGCCCCAGAGAAAUGAUUGCUGUGUUUCAUGAUCAGUUAGGACACACAGGAUUUAUGUACUAUAAUAAAAAUGAUCUGGCUACCUAUAUAUACUGCUCUUUGCAAUUUUAAUGUCUAAAGGACAGCAGCAACUACAGGGCUCACAAAGUAUAUGAUGGCAUAUUCUCAACCAUAUGGUGUCCUUUCUGGAUGUUUCUCUUGAGUUUUGUUGUGAAGAGGAUUAAAGGACAAGAAAAUGUAUUUCCUUGGCUAAAAUUCUGCUCACUCAUAGGGGAAAAUGUCCGGAAUUAUAUCCUUUCCCUACUGAUAGAGUAUUGUAACCCUACAGUGAGCAACUUGUGCCAACCAUUAUUUCUAUGACUAGUAGACUGCAAAUUGAUACUGGGCACCUGACACACAAUAGUUGGUGGCAACUCUGGAUAGCAGUGCUACAAAUCUAGAGAAUUUUUAAAGGAAGCUAGUAGUUAUAGUUGUUCUUUCAGAACUCCAUUGUGGAGGAGAAACACAGGAAGUGAAAUCAGAAGGAUCAGGG